GCUACACAAAUAUCACUGCAAGCUCUCUCUAGUUUCAUACAUGGGAACCGUUGACAAGGGAGAAACAUAUGGAGCAUUCUACAACCUUCAAUUUUGCAGAUAGUCCAACAAAACAACACCGUGUCCCUCUUAGCAUGCCACACCUAAUCUCCGUCGAUUGACGACUGCUACAUUAUCGGCUAUGAAGAGGAGCUAACCAUAGAUUCCAAUGCUCAGACUACGCAUCUUUGCGGUUGGUGUCCUUCUCGUCUUCCUCCUCCACAGGCACGUUAACGUUAACUAUGGCCUCGCCUUCACCAUUUCCACCAGCGU
rnacentral:misc_RNA from 1 species